rnacentral:pre_miRNA from 1 species
GUACUACUCCCUCCGUCCGAAAAAGCUUGUCCCUUAAAUGGAUGUAUCUAGCAUCAAGUUAGUGCUAGAUACAUUCAUUUGAGAGACAAGUUUGGGACAAGUUUUAUCGGACGGAGGGAGUACUAG